rnacentral:rRNA from 1 species
CUAAGGAGACUGCCGGUGGCAAACCCGGAGGAAGUGGGGUGACGUCAAGUCAUCAUGGCCCUUACGGCCUGGGCUACACACGUGCUACAAUGGUCGGUACAAAGGGUUGCCAAGCCGCGAGGUGGAGCUAAUCCCAUAAAACCGAUCGUAGUCCGGAUCGCAGUCUGCAACUCGACUGCGUGAAGUCGGAAUCGCUAGUAAUCGUGAAUCAGAAUGUCACGGUGAAUACGUUCCCGGGCCUU